rnacentral:piRNA from 1 species
UUCAUGUUGAGUUUUUGUACA